rnacentral:piRNA from 1 species
UGCCACCAGUCUGGGAAAAGGAGCAC